UACGGAAGGUGCGAGCGUUAAUCGGAAUUACUGGGCGUAAAGCGCACGUAGGUGGUUUGUUAAGUCGAAUGUGAAAGCCCAGGGCUCAACCUUGGAAUUGCAUCCGAUACUGGCAGACUAGAGUACAGUAGAGGGAGGUGGAAUUUCCGGUGUAGCGGUGAAAUGCGUAGAGAUCGGAAGGAACACCAGUGGCGAAGGCGGCCUCCUGGACUGAUACUGACACUGAGGUGCGAAAGCGUGGGGAGCAAAC
rnacentral:rRNA from 1 species